rnacentral:rRNA from 1 species
UACGGAGGAGGCAAGCGUUAUCCGGAAUUAUUGGGCGUAAAGAGCUCGUAGGCGGUCUGUCGCGUCGGCUGUGAAAACUUGGGGCUCAACCCCAAGCCUGCAGUCGAUACGGGCAGACUAGAGUCCGGCAGGGGAGACUGGAAUUCCUGGUGUAGCGGUGAAAUGCGCAGAUAUCAGGAGGAACACCGGUGGCGAAGGCGGGUCUCUGGGCCGAAACUGACGCUGAGGAGCGAAAGCGUGGGGAGCAAACAGG